UUUUACCUGAUGGGCUUUACUAAAAUGGUGUUUGUAAUAUUAGGAAUGGUUAUAAUUAACAGAUAAUGGGAAUGUACCCAGUAAAUCCAUGUACAUAUAGAAAAUGAUCUGAGAAAAUGGGACGGGAGUUUGACGUUUGUAAACUAGACGCCAUUUAUAGCGCAGACUGCAAGUUCAUUAUUUCUCUAAAUACUUUCUGUUUUUUUUAAUAAUGUUACGUAAAUUAAAUGUCACUGGAUCUGUUUGCUCAAUAAUUUCUGG